rnacentral:lncRNA from 1 species
GCAAAUAAGACUGAAAUGUAUGGUGGGGGCAAAGACAACAGCUCCAGCUGGACCCCUGUUUCCGCGGGCAAAUUUAUGAGCCGCUACGGAACCAUGUGGGGACAACGACGAAAACUACGUCUAAAACAUCUGUGACAAGACUCGAUGUUGUAGUAUAAAUUAUACUUUCUCUGAUCUUAAAUUUUGACUUAAAUUUAUCAAAUAUGGAUGUAUCUAUUUUUUAAAAACGUAUGUUUUUACCGUCGACUUAAGGUGACGC